GGUUCUAAAUUUUUUAACAUGUUAAAAAAUCCCCGAAGGUGCGUCCGAUGUUGAGGGUUCGUAUUGAGUUCGUAUCACCAUCCUCACCAUCGUAAUGUCACCGGGAAUGCAUCUUUGCACAUCGUAUUGCAUUCGUGUUUCCAUCGUUUCCAUCGGGGAGUUUUGACAUUACGAUGUCUACACGAAUGAAUCACGAAGAUACCUGAAGGUCUUACGAUGGCAACACGACUUCGUGAAGUCCUCGUAAUCCCGUCGUGUUGCCAUCGAAUAAAAGUACGAAGGCGAC
rnacentral:lncRNA from 1 species